UGGGGGAAUCUGUACAUGGUGAUUAAUUUAUUGUCAUGUAAAGAAAAAACAUGAAUCUUUGGCCGACACGUUUGUUUUUCUCCUAAUAUUCCUGUGUCAAGAACCCAUAAUCUUCCACAUUUGUCUACCUAUGUGAAAAACAUCAACAUCGAUGGGGAGCGAAACGCCAGGAAUAUAAGAUCCACUUUUAAUGGCAGCUAAUUUGGCAAAUUCGUUUGGAAAGGCAAAUUCCAACGCUUUCCAUGAGUAGAUGUUCUUCAGUUUUUCUUGUGCUUGUGAAUCAGCAAUUGCCAAAAGGAAUAAGAUGACCGAGAAAUAAAAUUGUCUCAUCUCCUAAACACAAAAAUUGUUGGAAAUGUGAUUUAAUCGUAUAUUUUACUUUGGUUAGAGAAAAGAUAUUGUUAGAUAGUAAUGUAUUAUGUAAUUUCUUAUCCUCCAAGGAAAAUAUUUAUCUCAUAAUUAUCUUGAAUUUUAAUUUUUAGAAUGUUUUAACUAUCAUUAUUUUCGUGUUUUAUGUUUUUCUGCCAAAUAUUGAUAAACAUGUUUUUUCAAACACGAUAAAAUUAAAACAAUUGUAAAAAAAUUUUACAAAAUAUUAGUUAGAAAUCGAUUUAAUUUUAUGAAAUUAGAAAAAAAUUAUUUAUUGCCCAUAAUUAAAUCCAGAAAAAAGAAAUCGCGGAUAAUAAUUUCAAGUAUUUUUUAAUAAAUAAAAAUUUAUUAUUAAAUUUAUUAUUAACUUUAAAUCAUUUGAACAACAUUAAUUAUAAUUAAAAUAACGUCUAUUUUAUGGAUUCAUUGCUACUUGUAAAUAAAAUUAUCGUUAAAAAUAUGCUAAUAGAAUGUAAAUAAAAUAAAAUUUAUUCCUGUGUUUUCUAAUUUAAAAA